GGGGAAUAUUGGACAAUGGGCGCAAGCCUGAUCCAGCCAUACCGCGUGUGUGAAGAAGGCCUUCGGGUUGUAAAGCACUUUAAGUAAGGAAGAAAAGAGUAUUGUUAAUACCAAUACUCCGUGACAUUACUUACAGAAUAAGGACCGGCUAAUUCCGUGCCAGCAGCCGCGGUAAUACGGAAGGUCCAAGCGUUAAUCGGAAUUACUGGGCGUAAAGCGCGCGUAGGUGGUUUAUUAAGUUGGGUGUGAAAGCCCCGGGCUCAACCUGGGAACUGCAUCCAAAACUGAUUCACUAGAGUACGAAAGAGGAAAGUAGAAUUCACAGUGUAGCGGUGGAAUGCGUAGAUAUUGUGAAGAAUACCGAUGGCGAAGGCAGCUUUCUGGUUCUGUACUGACACUGAGGUGCGAAAGCGUGGGUAGCGAACAGG
rnacentral:rRNA from 1 species